AUGCGAUCAUACCAGCACUAAAGCACCGGAUCCCAUCAGAACUCCGAAGUUAAGCGUGCUUGGGCGAGAGUAGUACUAGGAUAGGUGACCUCCUGGGAAGUCCUCGUGUUGCAUUCCCC
rnacentral:rRNA from 1 species